AUCCAGCUACUUAGUGGCGGAGCUGGAACUCAAGACCAAGGUAUCUGACGCCUCUGUGCUUUUAACAUUUGUGUUAAAAGGAACCUUCUGCUCCCUUCAGCUGGGGGAAGUAACCUAGCGUAUAGCAGGCGCAAUUAGCAGUGUACUGGGAGAAGCUGCCUGCCACCGCCCUCCACCUCCCAGACCACGCAUCCCUCCUUUGCAUGGAGUGACCACAGAGUAGAGCGUACAAAGCCUCCCAGCAUGGCUGGGCUCCAGAGUCCUGGCCCCAGGGAGCCUUGAGUGCCACACCUCGAGAGCUUCUGGGCAUGGGCAAGGUGUCUCAGAACAUAUGACCACCUGGUUCUUACCCGACCCCUGAGCUACCUUCCUUAUGUUUCAUCCAGCGGUGCCGCCCAGCCCAGACUUCAGAGGGCCUCCCUGGAAGAGGGCUUAGGAGGUAUGACCAAAAGGACCUACGGCUACAGGGUGUUGCUUCGCUACUUGGAUUCCUGCAGUUUCAGCUCAGCCUACAGCACUUAAGCCCUCUUCAGUCUCCAUCCCACUCAAGAAAGCUCCAUGGAAAAAGGUCUCUUUAAUCUGUUCCCAGCUCUGUCCCAGCGCAAGGAAUAGGACCUUGCAUUGAACAGAGACAUAUUUGGUCAUUGAACCAAUGGAGAUUCACCAGGCUCUUUAUGCUUCCUGUUGUCUUUCAGGAAGCUUGGGUGAGGACAAGCUUCGGGCACAGCACUGAGAAGGGUGACAGGGUAGAAGAAAAAACAGAGGUGCCCACACUUUCUUUCUCCGUUCCUGGCGCUCUUAGCAUCUCAGUCAUUCUCAUGAAAGAGACACCUAAAAGUUCAUUUUAUUAAGUGGCUAGGUCUAAACAACUUAAGUAGCUGUCUUCACAGCUAAUGAACCACUCAAAAACACGGUAUAUGUAAGUUGAAAUGAAAAAGACUUUAUUUUGUUGUCACAGACCGGUUACAUACCAAUGGGACAUGUGUGCCUGUUGGGCACUGCACAUCUUCGCAGACUUUGCUGUCCUAUUGGACACCGCCACCUCAUUUCUGGUCCCGUGUUGAUUUCUAUCACAGCAACCGCGGGAAACCCAGCUUCUCAAAGAUAGGACACCAUUGAGAAGAAUGUAGGGUGACAUCCUACAUAAGCUGUGAACCACCUUAAGCUCGUAGUCUGCGCAGCGUCUGACGGGAUCGAGCAUCGCUGUGGUCGCCUGGAGCUUCAAAUGUCCCCUGGGGCCCCGAGUGUGUGCUUCGGCACUCAGGAGCUGUGGUGGGAGUGACUGACCCGGUUCGAGUCCCAGUUUGUUUGUCUCCUUAUUUCCCCAUUUCAUGAUUCAACGAACACUCUCCAGUAGUUCUGAAUGUUCCAGUAUUAACUGGUUUUGUCAUCGUACUGAGCUUGUAGGCUGGGUGCUACUGUGUGAUGGUUCAUUUUUUGUGUCAACUUCGUGAGGCUGCACUGCCCAGUUGUCUGGUCAAGCACCAGCCUAGAAGUUGCUGGGAAGGUAUUUUUUAGAUGUGAUUAACAUUUAAAUCGGUGGACUUUGGGUAAAGCAUUUGACUCUCCCUAAUCUGGACCCUCAUCCAAUAUGAUGAGGACCUCAAGACAGACAUUUCCCAAAGAAAAAAUUCUCAAAACUGCAACACAGAAAUCCUGCCUGAGGGGUGCCUGGGUGCUGCAGUGGGUUAGGUGUCCGACUCCUGGCUGUGUCUCAGGGUCCUGAUCUCAGGGUCAUGGGAUCGAGGCCCACGU